GACCUCACCCUCUGCCUGCCACCGCCCACCCAGCUCCGCCCACCCUGCCAGCUCCGCCCACCCUGCCAGCUCCGCCCACCCUGCCAGCUCCGCCCACCCUGCCAGCUCCGCCCACCCUGCUACCGCGAUGAGCUGCUACUCCCGAAAGGCCCGGCCAGCUCCGCCUCCGCGCUCAGCCCCUUCCCCGCCUCGGGAGGGUGAGCGGGCCAGGUGCACACCAAGGGCCAGCCGCUCCGGGAGGUGCGCGCGCUCGGGGGUCCCCUGCAUCCCCCGCAGCCAAGUGGAUUCGUGGCUGGUGCACAGCGUGGCAGCUGAGGAUGCAGACGUGGCUCACGGGCUGCUCGGCGCCACCGCCACGUUGGCCAGAGGAGUCGGCGCCAGCCAGGCUGCACAGUGGGGGCGGCGGGGAUCCCCAAGCAGCUCGGAGUAGCCCCUGGGCCGGCGGGGAAGAACGAGAAAAAUGAGGCACUAAGAAAAGAGCAUGAAGCUGGGGCUCCCAGUUCCCAGCACGAGGAAAAUGUGUCAACCCAGAAGAACUCAUUACAAAGCAGAACAAUGAAGAUGAAAACAAACAGCAGAUAAACCUGACCGGGAGGCAGAAAAGACCACUGAACCUAGAAAUGAGACAUCUGAAUGGGACAGAUACUUCUUUCUCUCUGGAAGAUUGUUGUUUUCAUCAUAGCCUGAAAAUUCACUGGAGGGAUCUCAUCGGGAGAUAUUCCUCCUUUUCCAGGCAGUAUCAAUGAUGGCAUGAAUUUCUUCAGCACAUUAUAAUGGAGACUUUACCCAGGCUGUAAGUCACGAUGUCAAUAUUCAUGAGGCCAUGUUGCUGUGUCCCAACAAUACAUUUCGAGGAGAUCCAGUAGGAAGCACUUCACAGGCACAAGAACCAUUUCUACAGUUACAUUCUCAUACCACCAAUCCUGGGCAAACCCUUCCUAGAACUAAUUUGAGAGGAUCUCUUCCACAUGUUGACAAUCAGAUGACGAAUCUAAAAAGCCAAGACCUACUAUAUGACCUUCCCGUAAAUGUAUUUGAUAAACUUAAUGUCAUUAGCCACAGACAAGGACUUUGGAUGUUUCUCGGCUUUCUGAAGAACCAGAUUCUGAUUCUGGCCUUUCUUUAGACUCGUCACAAUAGCACCUCUAUCACCAGGUCUAAUUCUUCUCACUCUGUGAAGCUGCUAUAGGGUUUUAGUAUAGUCUCGUUCCCAUCAUGACUUAGAAGGUGCUGUAGGAGGCUGCUACCCAGAACCCAGUAUGUUUUAUCACAUGGAUCAUAGUAGUGAUUAUGGUUUCCAUGGGGAUCUUGCAUUUCAAGACAUAUUUUAUAACCACACUUAUCACUUACAGCCAAAUGCACCAGAAUCUACUUCGGAAUCUUUUUCAGGCCUGGAAAGUCACAGAAAAUAAGGAGUAGGUACCUCAGUGACUGAUAGAAACUUGAGCUGUGAUGAAUGGCAUGCUAAAGCUUUGCAUAUCCCUUUUUCUGUAGAUGAAAUUCCCACCUGUUGAUUUUUUCAGUAGCACAUUAAAUAGGUACUAUCUGACAGACCUACAAGUCUUGCUCAUCUGUGAUAUCAGAUGAAGAGGGAAAAGUAAAGUUGCUGCUCAGAACUGUUACAAAUGCAAAUUAGACAUAAUUUUGAAUCUAGAGGAUGAUGUAUGUAAAUUGCAAGCAAAGAAGGAAACUCUUGAGAGUGAGCCCAAUGUAAUAAAGCUAUUAACAUAAUGAAACAGAAACUGCAUGACAUUUGUGAUGUUUUUAGAUUAAUAAGAGAUGACCAAGGUAGGCCAGUCAACCCAAACCAGUAUGCUCUUCAAUAUAGCUGUGAUG
rnacentral:lncRNA from 10 species